rnacentral:pre_miRNA from 1 species
UAUUAGGUUGAUGCAAAAGUAAUUGCGGUUUUUGCCUUUAAAAAAAAAAAAAAAAGAAUGGCAAAAACCGCAAUUACUUUUGCAUCAACCUAAUA